rnacentral:lncRNA from 1 species
GGCAACUUUCUUGCUGCAUCCUUGCAGGGCUGAGGAUAGGAGGAGCCACAGAGAUCCAUAGCCAGAUCUGGUUUCUCUUCUUCUUAUUAUUAGAGCACUAAUUAUAUCAGAUUAGGGCUCAAGCCUUAGGACUGUGUUUAACUUAAUUAUCUCCCAAGGGUCCCAUUUACAAAUAUAGUUGCAUUUGGAGUUAGGGCUCCAACACACGAAUGUUGGCAGGACACAGUUCAGGUCCUAACACCCUCCGACAAGCAUCUUUCUCUUCAGCAUUUCCAACUAUAUAUUUUUAGGGGCAUAGAUGAAAGUGGUCAUUAGAACCCACCCUUCUGUACCCCGAGUCUCAUCCUAUUAAGAAAAAUGGUGGGCUUGAUGGAAUGUUAGUGUGCAGCAAUAAAAACAAAAUACUGAUUUAUACCCAACCCAGCUGAGUCUCAGAUGUACUAUACUUAGGGGAAGAAGUUGGAUUGGAAAGACUACAUGGCACAUGAUUCCACUUACAUGACAUUCUAAAAGAGGGUAAACCAUAGGGAUGGAAAACAGAUGAGUGUUGGUCGAUCUUUUCAGGGUGGAGUUUAGGGAUGAAGGAAGGAGAAGGAGAGGAUUUUGGUGGAUGAUGAACUAGUCCAUAUUUUGAGUGUUAUGAUGGUUACCCAAUUAUAUGCAUUUUUCAAAACUUACAGAAAUAUGCUAUAAAAAGUAUUUUCUUUUUUUUUUUUUUAACUGCAUGUUAGUUUCACCCAGGGCUUAUGGAGGAUCCCUGUUGUUCAUGUGAUAUCCUGUGAAUUCUGGGGUCUACCAUCCACCUCUUUGGCUUCACCUUAGAGAAAUUAUUUGUACAAUUUAUUUCUUCUAGUAGCCACUUGGUAAAUAUAAUUUUUGCUUUUAUCUUUAUCUGUGUCUUUGUUGAUUUCUGUAUCUAGCAAACAGGCUUGGAAGUGGCCAAUUUAAUUCAUGUUGCAUGGAUUUGUACAUACCACAUUGCCAUGAUAUAAGUGUGGUGAUCCCCACAUUCCUGAUGAAACUGUGUCCUGUGUUCUCUUCAAUGUCCUGCUGUGCUUGCAUCCUGAUGAGAUGGUGGAGCAGCAUCUCAGUACUAGAAUGUCUGAUACCGCAUGUGUUCAGUUGUGGCCUCCUGACUACAUAUUGUUUCAUUCCAAAUGUUGCCAGUUUUCCUUUAAGGACUUGGUGUCAAUUAGAAUUCAGAUGCUCCUCUAUUUGUGGUGUUAUAUCCAGAUAAAGCCAUCAUAAGUUUAAAAUACUGUAAGUCAAAAAUGCAUUUCCUACACCUACCGAACAUUGUUACUCAGCAACAUGGUACACUGAGCCUCCUAAAGAGCCCAUCUUCAGAGGAAUUUCAAGAUGGCGGAAUAGAGAAGGUCCCUUUCCUGGCUGCUCCAUGGUGUGAAACCAAGAAAGCAGAUAGGCAACUUCUCAGCAAGGUGAGUGAAAAAUAAAAGAUCCCACCUUCAAAUGCAUUCACACUAGAGGUUGGUUAUUUCCCCUUGUGAUCCUGUGGCUGACUGGGAACUAUGGUCACUGCCACCAUCCAGCACCAUGAGAAGGUACUAAACUGCACACUGGGAGAAGAUCAAAGUCUAGGAGAAGAUCAAAACUUGAAGUAUGGUUUCUGUGGAGUAUGUACUGCUUUUACACCAUCACAAAGAUUAAAAAAAAUUGUAAGUUGGACCAUCAUAAGCAGGGGACUAGAUAGAAAUCUCUACUCGGACUGAGUAUCCCUUGCAAACCCAGAGUAGAGUAAGGCUGACAUCAGCUGAAGUUUAUUUCUCUAGGACUCCCUCAGCUUCUCACUUCAUCCACUCACAUGCCCAGCUCUGAGAUAAUUAUUGGGGUCUGGGGUAGCACAUGCUCAUUACGCCAGUCCUGACCCGAACAGCAAGGCUGGGAGGUCCAAUUCUGUUCAGGAGGAGGAAAUGGUACGGGCCGCUGGGGAAGCUUUUAGCAAGUUUCUGCCGCGGUCUUCCAGCCCGACCCCAAAGUUAACCCACUGGCCCAAAGUGUGUUUCUUGUUAUCUGAGUGUAUUUUGUUAGCAUCUCUUAUGUGCAAAGGCUCAGAUGGGUCCGGAAGGUGUCUUUCCUUAGCGUCUGUGAUCAUUCUCUGGAGGAAUGCCCCCCUGGCUUGCUGGAGAGCCAUCCCCUGCUCAGCGACAGUGGAAGGGACAGGGCUAGAAGGUGGCUGUGGGGUGGGGUUGCACUAGGGUGUGUGAGCAGCUUCCUCCUUACCCAAAGCAGCAUUAGAAAUCACGAGAGCUUCUUUUGCUUGCUAAGUCCACAAGCAACCAAAAACCUGCCAUGGAUAUGAUUCUGGGGAGAGUGGAAAGAAGAGAAGUGUGGUCACUUUUGUACAAUAACUAGAACAAACAUUUAUUUAGUGUUUUUAUGCAACAUGUAUUUAUAGGAACAGAAUGUGGAGGCUGUCGGGUACUAAAUUGAAGAUGUAGUUUUCUCUGGUCACAGCAUUAUCCAAAGGCCGGCCUUUGGCGUCUGCCCCAGUCCUGUGUGCUUCUUGUUGCCAGGCUUGAAGUUUUUGGUCUUCUGCUCCAAAUAUGUGGCAGAGACAGCUAAGUAUCCCCCAAAUCUGUUCUUUUUUUAUACAAUAAUUAUAAUGGAAUAAAUUUCCCAGCCUCCUUUAACCCACUUCUUCCCAUUGUCCCCAAUGAAAAACACCUAUAAAGACCUUAGUAUACAAUAAAAAUAACUAUAUACUAUAUAUUUACUAUAUUUUUUUGUUGUCAUUAUAUAAUUAAUAUAAUACAUGUAUGCUCUAGACUAUAAUUUCCAGUCUCUUUUAAUGCACCUGUGUGAAUUUCAUUGAAAUAUUCACAGAACUGGAAACUUGGGAUUUAGUGGGUUAUGCAUGACUACAGGAGAAACUGUGUGUGCAACCUCUAGAACAUGCCCUUAGGUGCGUUCUCCUCUUUCUCCUCCUAUCACGUGGGGAUGUGGACAGGUUGGCUGCGGCUGGGGUCACUGUCAUGGAUCAGAAGGUGAGAACUAUAUGCUGAGGUUGAUAGAGAAAUAAGAUACAGAGUGUCUGGAUUCUUGACAAACGUGGGUCAUCGUACUAGCCCUGGGCUGCUUAUGUUUAUGUGAAAGGGAACUAAAUGAUCAUGCACAAGCCAUGCUGAUAUUAUUUUUCAGUCACUCGCAACCAAACUUAAUACAAUGACAGCUUUUGGUUAGAACAGUGCCUGGCAUAUAGCAGCUUCAUAGAGAAUUUGCAUUGACUCAGUUAAUCUGUUUAUUAGCUAAUUCCCUGGGUGAAUUAGUUUUUUAUCCCUGCGAUCAAAAUAUCUGACAAGAACAACUUAGAGGAGGAAAGGUUUACCUUGUGAUCAUGGUUUUGGAGGCUUCAGUCCAUGGUCAGCCAACCCCAUUUCUCUGAGCCUAAGUUGAGUCAGAACAUCAUGGCGGAAGGGGGUGCAGAGGAAAGCUCUCAGUUCCUGGCAGCCAGAAAGCAGAGAGGUGGGGGAAUCCUGGACAGCAUAUAGUCCUCAAGAACAUGCCCUUGUGAUCUACCUCCUCCAGCCACACAUACCCGCCUCCAGUUUUCACCCAGUAACCCAUUCAAAUUAUUAGUCCUUCCAAUGAAUUAAUCUACUGAAGAAGAUGCAGCUCUCAUAAUCCAAUUAUUUCACCUAAAACAUAGCCUAACACAUGAGCCUUUUGAGGGAUAUUCCUAGAACACCAUCACAACCACAAAGUUUACUAUUUUAUCCACUUUACAGACAAGGAAAGUAAGUCCCAAGUCACACACAUCCUAAGUGGUGAGUUACGGACUUGAACCUGGCCUGUCUGUCUUCAGUGACCCUGUACUUCAUCUCCACGAGGCCUUCAGUGAAUCAACACCACCCAGCAGAGGGAACUGGAGUUUAGCACAGUGCAUUGAAGAUGUGAUUAGGUUGUAGUUUCUUUUCAAUGAAUUGGAUGUGAACAAUCCAAAUAAUAUGGAUUAAAUUGCCAUUAAAAUGGCUGAGGUGUGUUAUCUCUCAUCAGGUGAAACUGAGGAUUUCUGUUCAUAUCCAAGGCCAUAGAAUUUACCCCGACUUGGGUUAUUUAUUCACUCUGCACUCACAAGCAAACAUUUACCACAUGCUGUUUACCAAAAACUUGGCUGUGGGCAGGUGACUUCAUGUACCUCAUCCCAAAUUUGGACAGAAAAUCUCAAAUAGGUUAAAAUUACUUUGUGCAUGGCAGACAUGCACAAAAUAUGGUGGUUGUUACUAUAAUUAUUUUCAAGGUCCUAUGCUAGGCAUGGAAAAGAUUAGCAUAGAGUUAGAAAAUACAGGAUGAAUGUGCUCUCCCCUCUAGACAGAUAGAUAGGGCUGAUGAUUCAUUGAUUUAAACAUCAAACAUUUAUUCAGAAGCUAUUAUUUUCCAGAUACUGAUACUUUGUUAGGUAAUACGCAUAAAAUAGUUACAUUGAUAUUUGGUGCCAGAUUCAGAGACGAUCUUCAUGGUCCAGAUCAGCAACAGUAUAAUAAAAAUGCAACUGGAGCCACAUCUAUAGCUGAUAUUUUCUAGGAGUAAUGCUAGAGAGUAAAAAGAAACAAUGAAACCAACCUCAACUUAAUAAACCUGUCAUUAACAUAUUUUGUUCUCAUUAUCUCUGUUGUCUUUUUGCAUAUAUUCAAUAUAAUAUGUCAAUAUUAAGAUACUAAUAUAAAUGUUAUAAAUUACUAAUGAGAUCUCUUACUUGAUUUUUCAUACCAUUUUCCUAAUCUAUUGUUGAGAGCCACAGCCGAAGGGGCCCCAGCAAACUUCCAGCUGCCAGCAAACUUCCAGCAACAUCUAGCUGAUUGGCUCCUCGGCCCCAGCAACAUCUAGCUGAUUGGCUCCUCUGCGGUGAUGCUCAUUGGGCUGUUUCCCUGCCCUUUCAGACCACGGAGCUGCUCAUUGGGGGACUUUUUUGGCUCCGCCCACGUGACCCAGCCAAUCGGCCUCAAGAGCAGGAGGAUUGUGGGAGGGGGAGAGAAGCUGGUGUGGGAGAGAGAGGCUUGUGGAAAGCCGGUGGUGGCAGUUGAGGCUCUGAGGGUUUUUCCUGAGAGGCUGUUUUGUUUGGCGUGUGUGGUUCUAAAAAUAAAGUUAGUUUCUUUUGACAAGUGGCUCCUGAUUGUGCCCAGCCAGACUGCGGC